rnacentral:rRNA from 1 species
UACGUAGGGUGCAAGCGUUGUCCGGAAUUAUUGGGAGUAAAGAGCGUGUAGGCGGCCCGAUUAGUCCGCUGUGAAAGUCCAGGGCUCAACCCUGGAAUGCCGGUGGAUACUGUCGGGCUAGAGUCCGGAAGGGGCGAGUGGAAUUCCUGGUGUAGCGGUGAAAUGCGCAGAUAUCAGGAGGAACACCAAUGGCGAAGGCAGCUCGCUGGGACGUGACUGACGCUGAGACGCGAAAGCGUGGGGAGCAAACAGG